CUUGUGACUUAGCCGGUUUAGCUAGUUCAAGUGUAUCCCACGCUUGAACUAAAAAGGCAGGAAUCCAAUAUUAUUCCCCUAUUGACAGUAUUGACAUUAAAAUUUGAGUGUCAUGUAUGUAUUGACAUUAUGACGAAAUAAAAAUACUCUAUUAGAACUUUUGUAAACAAAUUCUUAGGGUAGACAAAUUCUUAAUAAUCAACUCGCAGGUAAUGAUUUGUCUUCAUUCAAGAAUAAACAACACAUAGGAUUAAAAAAAUUAAUGACAAACAACUUUAAAUUUUAAAUAAAUGAUUUUAAAUCAUUAUUUACUUGAUUCUGAACUAUGAGAAGACAUCCUUGCUUUGGGGGAUGGAUGCAGCUUCAUACAACAUGCCACAGCAGCCCCGUGAGCGGCGUGCCCCUCCAGAGCCCCGAGUGCGGCAGCCGCCGCCGGAGCCGAGGCGUGCAGUCGCACAGCAGCCGCCGCAGCCACGGGAACGCCACGCACCCCCCGCGCCCAGGGAGCGCCAGCCACCCCCACAGCCUCGGGAGCGAGUGCCACCACCACCUCCAAGGGUGCGACAACCACCACCCGAACCUAGACAUUAACAGACCUAUCAUAUCUUUUAUAUUACUUAUAGCUCAUAUUAUAUAGUCUGAUGUCAUCUUGUCAGCUAAUUAGUUCCUAUUUAGGAGAUUGUUUAUUAGUGGGAAUGAUUUGUUCAUGUUUAGUGUUAUAACAUAUCUACUAAUUAUGAUAAAUAAUUGCCUGUACAAUGUUUCAUAACCAUACUUAAAUUAUUCGUGUCCUUCAUGGUAUUAUGUAAUAGUAACAUUUAAUUAGGCAGGGUUUUAUGUGACCAUAGAGGACAUUUAUGUUAUGGGGAAGAGUAAUUUUAUACAAUCCAUAUUAAAAAAAAACAGACAAGUAUUUUUAAGUAUAAAGAACAAAUAGCUAUGAUUGUUGAAGUGUGUAACAAAAAUUAUGCUCUGCAUUUGUAUACUUUAUGUCUUAAUAAGUAUUUUUUUCCUAUUCUUAACGUCAAUGUUUGACAACCAUGUUGAUAUUACUAACAAAGUUUAUAAGUGUUAUUGUCAUUGGCAACACUAAAAGUGUAGUGCGACCAAAUUAGAGUAUAUAAGUUUUGUAUUUUUGAUAUUAAAUAAACUUAAGAACAUAUACACUUCA